rnacentral:lncRNA from 1 species
GAAGAGAAACUGACUGGGCAACAUGUUAUUCAGGUGGGUGCCACAGUUAUCCCCAUUAUAUGCACAAAAUGAUGAAGACUUGGGGUUAAUGAGCGAUUUGCCCAAGCUCACCUGAAUAUUAAGACUGAGUCAAAUGUUAGUCUGGUCUGACUUCAAUGCUUGCCUUGUUCAUGAGCACCAUGCAUUGCCUCUCCUAUGCAGUUAAGCAGGUAGACAGGUGAGAGAAGAGCCCGUGUGAUAUCGGGGGAAAUUCACCCCGAUAUUUCAUGUAGGUUCUUUUCUGUUUUCCCUGAGUGUUGGCCGGUCUGAGAAAUAAAGGAAAAGAGUACAAAAGAGAGAAAUUUUAAAGCUGGGUGUCCAGGGGAGACAUCACAUGUCGGCAGGUUCCGUGAUGCCCCGCAAGCUGCAAAACCAACAAGUUUUUAUUAGUGAUUUUCAAAAGGGGAGGGAGUGUACGAAUAGGGUGUGGGUCACAGAGAUCACAUGCUUCACAAGGUAAUAAAAUAUCACAAGGCAAAUGGAGGCAGGGCAAGAUCACAGGACCACAGGACCGGGGCGAAAUUAAAAUUGCUAAUGAAGUUUCGGGCACGCAUUGUCAUUGAUAACAUCUUAUCAGGAGAAAGGGUUUGAGAGCAGACAACCCAUCUGACCAAAAUUUAUUAGGCGGGAAUUUCCUUGUCCUGAUAAGCCUGGGAGCGCCACGCGAGCCCAGGGCUUAUUUCAUCCCUUAUCAACGACUGUAAAAGACAGCCGUCCCCAAAGCGGCCAUUUCAGAGGCCUCCCCUUAGGGAUGCAUUCUCUUUCUCAGGGAUGUUCUUUGCUGAGAAAAAGAAUUCAGCAAUAUUUCUCCUAUUUGCUUUUGAAAGAAGAGAAAUAUGGCUCUGUUCCACCCGGCCCACAGGCAGCCAGAGUUUAAGGUUAUCUCCCUUGUUCCCUGAAAUUGCUGUUAUCCUGUUUUUUUUUUCAAGGUGCCCAGGUUUCAUACUGUUUAAACAACUUGUGCAGUUAACGCAAUUAUCACAGGGUCCUGCAGGGACAUUCAUCCUCAGCUUACGAAGAUGACCGGAUUAAGAGAUUAAAGUAAAGACAGGCAUAGGAAAUCACAAGGGUAUUGAUUAGGGAAGUGAUAAGUGUCCAUGAAAUCUUCACAAUUUAUGUUCAGAGAUUGCAGUAAAGAUAGGCCCAAGAAAUUAUAGAAGUAUUAAUUUGGGGAACUAAUAAAUGUCCAUGAAAUCUUCACAAUUUAUGUUCUUCUGCCGUGGCUUCAGCUGGUCCUUCCGUUUGGGGUCCCUGACUUCCCGCAACACGUUUCUCUCUACUCACAGACUUCUGACCAAAUGUGUGUGCAGAGUUUCUACACCAGUUCUCCAACUCUCUGGAUACCAACCGCGUAUCCCACAAUUCCAUUCUGACACUACCUAGAGUUAGCGCAGAACCCACAGGUUAGGGGCUCAGUCCCACAAGACCACUCUCACUUCAGAUGCCAGUUGCAAGUCCUAGGUUGUCACCUGUAUUUUGACCAACCAGUUAGAAAUCAGGGUUUCCCAUGACCCUCUUCUUGAGUUUAAUUAUUUACUAGAACAACUCACAGAACUUAGAAAAACAGGUUUUUUUCUUUCCUUUUUAAGAGACAGGGCCUCGCUCUGUUGUCCAGGCUGGUGUGCAGUGGUGCAAUCAUUGCUCAUUGAAGCCUCAACCUCCAGGGCUCAAGUGAUUCUCCUGCUGCAGCCUCUCAAGUAGCUGGAAUUACAGGGUUCCCACCACCACAUUUGGCUAAUUUCUUUUAUUUUUUGUAUAGACGGGGUCCUCUUAUGUUGCCCAGGCUGGUCUCAAAUUCCUAGGCUCAAGUGAUUCCGCCCACCUCUGCCUCCCAAAGUGCUGGGAUUACGGGCAUGAGCCAGCGCAUCUGGCCACCUUAUUUUCUGUUACUGGCUCAGUGUAAUGGCUCCAUCUCAGGAACAGCCAAUGAAAGAGAUGCACAGGACAAGAGAUGGGACCUCAGUAUGUUGCCACGGCUGACCUUGAACUCCUGCACUCAAGGGAUUUUCCUGCCCUGGCCUCCCAAAGUAUUGGUAUUACAGGCAUGAGCCAUUGUGCCCACCGUCUC